rnacentral:lncRNA from 1 species
CCGUGAGAGUGUUAGAAAAAACAAGCAAGCUAAUUUUUCUUUCUUAUGAGAUUAAAUGAUUUCUACUACCAGUUUGUUAAAAAAAAUACAAGCAACCAAUAAUAACCAGCACCAAUAAUAAAGAUAAAUCAAACUGCACAAAAGAAUACCAGAAAUUUUAUGUGAAAAAUUCAGAAAUGGAAAAAAUCACAGGCCAAGUCAAGGA